UCAGUGUCCGGCAGGGGGCGCGCCAAGCCAGGGAGAGAGAGCCCAGCACUGAUUCAUUUCAAAUGAGGCUCUACCACAGCUCACCCACUUCCCAUCUCCCUCUUUACUAUAAUCCCCCCCACGUGGACCAACCCAUAUGUUUCACACUGGGCAUGCUUCAACUUAUCCUGGGGCUAUAAAAGCCAGCUGAUAUAGCUAUAACUCAUUUGAUCCUUGAAGCUCAAAUGUUGGAAGUGAAGUAAAUGUUUUCAUGGUGUCUGCGCUACAAAUUUCAGUUCCUGUUUGACUGUGAAGCCCUGCCACAAUACCAUAAAAUGCCAAACAAUCAUACCACUGGUGUCCAAUCUUAUCCACAAAGGGUCUGUUGGGUGGUAGGUUUCCAUUCCAGCCAAGCAGAAACGCAUGUGACCAGGGGCUUAAACACUGAUUAAACAAAUGUAAUCAGGUGUGUUGCUGGUGGUUUAAAAUUAAAACCUGCUUCCACUAUGGCUUUUGUGGGUAAGAUUGGAUUCUCCUGCCCACCAUGAAUCUACACUGAUGUGUACUGCUUCUUAUUCAUGUAAUUUUCUAUGCUGUCAACUUAGAGCAGUGUUUCUGUCCUUGUCAUGGUGUCCCUGUCCUGCACAUUUGAGCUUUAAGGUGUCCUUCUGAAGCUUUGAAAUUCUGAAAAGCUUGGGUUGUUAAUGAGCUGAUUAUUUGAAUCAGGUGUGUUGGGAGUAGGAGAAAUCCCUGAAUAUGUAGAGCGGACACACCAUAACCAGGAUUUGAAAAACGCUGAUCUAGUGUCAGCACUGCAAUGCUUUUUUUUAUUUUUCUUUCAUUUUUCCUUUUAAAAUUAUGGAUUUUGUGAAACCAUGUUAAUUGUUUUGUAACUUCUGUGUCUUGUGUAACAUUUUUCUUUAAACAUUUUAGUAAAGAACUUUGGGAGUUGGUAAA